rnacentral:lncRNA from 1 species
AUCGUGAACAUAAGAUAAGAGAGUAUUUGUUGGCCUCACAAAUUUCACCUUCUCACAGUUGUCAAGAGUUUGUUACAUUACCUUGUAGCAUAAACUUGAAGAAGUAAAUCAGUCAAAUUUGGUUCGCGGUGGGGCUCCAAAUCUGGAUCUGAAUUUGAUAAUGUAAUGAGCAAAUAAUGGGAUAACACUGGAACCAUUUGGCAUGAUAACUUUAGCUGUUUAGUAUUUCAUCUCAUUCCCUGUGAAGCUCUGAUGCACAUUAGUCCGUUACCUAUUUGCUGUCAUUCUGUUGGUAAAUGAAC